CGCAUCUGUGCAUGCAGCAUAUCAAUAAGCGGAGGAAAAGAAACUAACAAGGAUUCCCUUAGUAACGGCGAGUGAAGCGGGAAGAGCUCAAAUUUGAAAUCUUCAAGGUUUUACCUUGACGAAUUGUAGUUUAAAGAAGUGUUUUCUGUUGAAGUUUUGGUAAAAGUUCUUUGGAAUAGGACAUCAUAGAGGGUGAGAAUCUCGUAUUUGACCAUUAUUUUCAGCUGUGUGAUACACUUUCAAAGAGUCGGAUUGUUUGGGAAUGCAGUCCAAAAUGGGUGGUAAAUUUCAUCUAAAGCUAAAUAUUGGCGAGAGACCGAUAGCGAACAAGUACCGUGAGGGAAAGAUGAAAAGAACUUUGAAAAGAGAGUUAAACAGUACGUGAAAUUGUCAAAAGGGAAGCGUUUGACACCAGUGUUGUUUUCUCGAAAAUCAAUUAAAAAGAGUUUGAUUUUGUUGUGUAUUGACCUUAACAGCUUGCAUUUCAAUUUUCUUGCUUUUUUUAAUGCACUUUUCGUUUAACAAGUCAACAUCAGUUUCUUUUGUUGUAAAAAGGUCAUUGGAAGGUGGCUUUCUUUUCGGAGAAAGUGUUUAUAGCCUUUGACUCAUGCAAUCGGAGAGACUGAGGUCUGCAGCGUAGAUCCUUCGGGGUUAGAUACAUUUGUGCUAAGUUAUAGCUUUUUAUAGACAACUUGUUGACUAUGAUUAGUCUUGUAGCUUACUCGCUUAUGCUAUUUUACCUACGCUUAGGAUGUUGACACACGCGCGUGCUCG
rnacentral:rRNA from 1 species